AACUCGACUGCAUGAAGCCGGAAUCGCUAGUAAUCGCGGAUCAGAAUGCCGCGGUGAAUACGUUCCCGGGUCUUGUACACACCGCCCGUCACACCAUGGGAGUCGGAAAUGCCCGAAGCCGGUGGCCUAACCGAUAAGGGAGGAGCCGUCGAAGGCAGGUCUGAUGACUGGGGUGAAGUCGUAACAAGGUACC
rnacentral:rRNA from 1 species